AAUCUUGUGCAGUGGCAAUAUCGUAAUCAAUGAAGUUCUACUGAAAUGCGAUUAUUGCUAGUUGAAAAAACUAAUAAACAAGCGUGGAUUGGCAUUCUGUACAAAAAUUUGAACAAAAACUGAAAACAAUUUAAACUU